AUUCGAAUUAGUCAAUUAGAGACGCAAGCAAAUGGCUUAAUCGUAAAUAGAGGUUGAUGUCAUAUUUGUAAAUUUAAUGAAAAGCAAGGGUAGCAACUAAGCCCUAUCUUCUUCGUUCUGGCGAUAGGUUUUGGAAAAUCAUCUCCUUUCGCCAAACUAGCCAUCUGUCGUCGGUAUCCGCUGAAACAUGUUAUAGCAGCCAACCUCAGGCCUCGUCGGGCUAUAUCAUGGCUGAGCGACGCAGCUAGUUUUGGACAGCCUGGAACGCUUCAUGACAUGCGAGAGUUCGACAACCGAACGAGAUAGCCAUGGCAGCAGGGUCAUAGGCUGCCUGCCCACGCCCCAGCACGGUGCGGGCAGCCAACACCCCCACCAUUGCAUGCUGGUCGUCUGGCACUUAGGGACAGCAGCCAUGCUUGCUACUUUGUUGUUAUUGCCUAAUUUCCUCCUCUUUUUUAUUUGUUGAAUAAUUUAAGAUUGAGUUAUAAAAUUUCAAAAUUAUGAACCCAAAUCGAGAGGUACAACAUGAAUAUGACACCAAUGUUGAUUUUCAUUUUGAAAGAGAAAAAUGUGAUGGCAAUUUUCUUUUUUAAAUACGAUGGCUCUAUUCCUUUGUCAUAUUAGAAUUUAUUUGAUAUGGGGCAAGUACAGUUACAAUGGAUAAGUUGAAUGGGGUGGUGAAAUCUGAAUUAUCUGGGAUGCACUGGCCAGCGUUAGAGGUUAGCUAUUUACUUAAGUUUUUUUGUAUUCCUUGACCCUGACUGCUAUCUCCUUGUUGUGUCAUAUAUAUUUAGUUGUAUGAAUUUUUCUGUUACUGUGCUAUUUUCUUUAAAGGAUUUUUUGCGAAAGUGGAAAAGCUAGGGGGAAUAUUUUAGUGAGAAGGGAAAAUUAUAAAAGUUUUUUUUUUCAAUUAUAAUGAGAGGGAAGAUUAUGCCUGGGGAUGUAGGACAGAUUUAAAGAAAAAUGGAUAAGGAAAUUUACUUGAGGCUUAAAUUUUAAUAUCUUUCUAAGAUAUUGAAGACAGAGAGAUGUGACUGCAACCAAUCGUGCGGAAAGGUUAAAUUUUUUAACUGGCUUUUGUCAAUGUAAUACUUAUUAUUAUAGUCAAUGUAGCACUUAUUUUACUUUUUUUUUGGAACGGAGGCCUGUAGUAAUCCUCCUUAAAACCAGAGUUGCACUUAUAUGUAUGUGGCUUUAUGAUGAUCUAGUAUUUGCUUGAAAGGUCUAGCAUAAUGUUGUAAAACUAUUCCUACAUAAAUAGCAAUUUCAGUUGCAUUCAUUAAUUAAGAACCAUCUUUGAUAAUUUUAUUUUAUGUAGUCUGUGCUUAAAGGAAUACCGAGAGCAUAUUGUCUCAAAUGUUUGGUAAUUAGGGUACAUGAUAGUAAAUUCCUGCUUGUGGGGAAAUAUUCAACAUGCAUCUAAUUUAGUGAUAAAAAAAUGUGUUGCACUAGUUUUGUCUAUCCGGGAAAUGGUUAUUGGGUAUAUCAUUUGUUGGUUAUGUGUUUCCCCUUUAUGGGCAAAUAUGAUAUUUGUCACUAGAGUGGUUUAGAAAAUUUUUUUACAAAGUAACAAGUUCUUUCUCUUAGAAUUGUGCUUACUGAUGCUUGUAUAAUCUUCAUUGUCUUUCAUGUGGUUGUUUUGGAGUCAAACCUGAGGUUUAUGAUAACAACAAUGCCUAGAAUUAGAACAUAGUCUGUAUAUGGUUAUUCUUGUGGCAAUUUGAAGGUACAGCAAUCCAGAGAGCUGUUUCAAUUUUUCAGUUUAUUCUCUCUAAUCUUUGCCCUUGUAUAGGCUAUUAUAUUUAUAUGUUAUAUAUGUCGUCUUGUUUUAUUAUAUGUUUUCAAAUUUUUCUUUUUCUUGGCCACAUAAGAGAAUUUCAUAUUUCACAUGUCAUGCAACUUAAUACAUUUGUUUAUUUGCUCAAUACUUAUAAGGCCUUGUCAGCUUGGGCGUGGUGGUGCUGGUUAUGUUUGGUGAGUCUCUGAAGGAGUUCAUGAGGAUGAAUGGAGGCAUUCAGUUGCACCUAUUCCUGCUGAGAAACUGGAGGGGUCCAUGCAAGCUAUAGAAGAUGAUUUGGAAUUGUUGAAUCUAGAUGGCAGUGCUCUAUCACCUUCUGAAGAGUUGAAACCUGACUUCAACAGUAAUUAUUCUGAAGGUGAUGAUGACUCUAAAGAUGACACCUUUGAGAAAGAGGUUGAAGCAACCUUUUUGAGGGCUGUUCAUGAAAAUAUCAAAAUUGACAUAAUCCUCACAAUGAACUCACUCCGGUUGUCGUACAACAUGACUUCUGCAGCCUGUGCUGGAGGAAUAUUUUAUGCAAUGAUGAAGUUGGCAUUAGAAACUCCACAUACAGCUGCUGGUGAAUUGUAGAAAAAUGUUGCAAGUGUUGUAGCUACAUGGCAAAAGCUGCUAAAGUUCUAUGCAAAAGGAAAAGAUGAUCAGAUUGAAAUGAUAUUGAAAUUUGAAGAAAUGUGUCUAGAGCCUGCUAAGGAGUUCUGGCCAACAUUUUCCCAGACAUUUUAGAAGAGGAUGCCAUAUUAAGAUGGGCUGAUGAGAAAAAGGAUGCUGAAGAAUAAGAUAAAGUUUUUGUAAAGCAAUCAGAAAAGUUUAUUCAGUGGUUGAAAGAGGCACCCAAAGAAGAAUCUGAAGAAAAAGACUAAGAUUGGAGAAAGAGACCCAUUUCAUAAUUGAGAUUGUAAAGAAGCUGAUUUCAGUGGUGACAAUGUCAGAUGGAUGCUUUGAAUUGAGAUUUUUAUGUAUCAUCUUUCUUGUGAGAUGAAGUUAAAGCUUUGGUUCGCCACAACUCUCAAUCUUGGCGAUUUUAAAAAGUUGGAGGAUGUUGACCAAGUCCCUUUGUAUUACCUGACAGGAAUCUUUUUCCUUGAAACAUCUCAAGAAUCUUUGACAUAGAUCAGGAUGCUAAACUCUCACAUCAGGUGAACGCAGGAUUCUUAAGUAGUGGAACAAGGGAAACAAGAUGGACAAUCUUCUUAUAAAAAUGGGCUAACAAUAAUACAAAUGAUCAGACAAGCUACUCAGCAACAUACAAGGAACGUAAGGUUACAUGCAUAUCUUGAUCUUGCUAAUGCAAUCACAACGAUAAACAAAUAAUCAGGCAAGCGUGGCUGACAGAAUUCAGAACCGAGGAGGUCCCGGAGGCGGAGGGCCAAAUGGGCCUCCGGGUGGUCCGCCUGGAGGUGGACCACCAAAUACUGGUCCACAACAACUCUCUAGGAUGCAGCAGCAGCACAGGAAAUACAUAC